CGCGUGAGAAUCUGCCCUCAGGAGGGGGGUAACGGUUGGAAACGACCGCUAAUACCCCAUAUGCCGAGAGGUGAAAUGAAAUUCGCCUGAGGAUGAGCUCGCGUCUGAUUAGCUAGUUGGUAGGGUAAAGGCCUACCAAGGCAUUGAUCAGUAGCUGGUCUGAGAGGAUGAUCGGCCACACUGGGACUGAGACACGGCCCAGACUCCUACGGGAGGCAGCAGUGGGGAAUUUUCCGCAAUGGGCGCAAGCCUGACGGAGCAACGCCGCGUGAGGGAUGAAGGCCUCUGGGCUGUAAACCUCUUUUAUCAAGGAAGAAGAACUGACGGUACUUGAUGAAUAAGCCACGGCUAAUUCCGUGCCAGCAGCCGCGGUAAUACGGGAGUGGCAAGCGUUAUCCGGAAUUAUUGGGCGUAAAGCGUCCGCAGGCGGUUUUACAAGUCUGUCGUUAAAGCGUGGAGCUCAACUCCAUUUCAGCGAUGGAAACUGUAAGACUCGAGUGUGGUAGGGGCAGAGGGAAUUCCCGGUGUAGCGGUGAAAUGCGUAGAUAUCGGGAAGAACACCAGUGGCGAAAGCGCUCUGCUGGGCCAUAACUGACGCUCAUGGACGAAAGCCAGGGGAGCGAAAGGGAUUAGAUACCCCUGUAGUCCUGGCCGUAAACGAUGAACACUAGGUGUCGGGGGAAUCGACCCCCUCGGUGUCGUAGCCCAACGCGUUUAAGUGUUCCCGCCUGGGGAGUACGCACGCAAGUGU
rnacentral:rRNA from 1 species